CUAGCUAACGAUAGCUAAACAGUGGCCAGUUAAAAUGGAAUUGGAAUUACUUUUGAGAACGACCGUAUUGCCAAUAAUAUUUACUGUAACCGAAGCUUUAACGUAGAAGCAUUGUCCGGUCAUUAAGUCAAUGCACUAACCAGAGCUAAGCUGAUAAGCCAAUCUAAGCUAAAUCAAAGAACCGUCUUUGGCUAAAUUCGCUAAGCUAGCCUUAAGUUAUAUAAGUUUGUGGCGCCCACAAUUAACCAAGGCAACUGGGGGCAAUAUCAAGUGCAUUAUGAAUAGCGUGAAGAAGUAAGUUUAUGUUAAUAUUACAUAAAUAAGGCAAUUUAAAAUAGUUUGUUGUGGGGAAAAAAAUAUUAAAAUAGCUUAAUAUGAUGUGUGAGAAUUAAAACGGCAGGAUAAUUCUCGUCAGGUGUUAAAUGUGUAUUCCCACCGUUAGCUUAGCGUUAGCUAAGCCAUAGUGUGAAGAAGUAAGUUUAUGUUAAUAUUACAUAAAUAAGGCAAUUUAAAAUAGUUUGUUGUGGGAAAAAAAUAUUAAAAUACCUUAAUAUGAUGUGUGAGAAUUAAAACAGCAGAUAAUUCUCGUCAGGUGUUAAAUGUGUAUUCCCGCCUUUAGCUUAUCGUUAGCUUAGCGUUAGCUAAGCCAUAGCAUGAAGAAGUAAGUUUAUGUUAAUAUUACAUAAAUAAGGCAAUUUAAAAUAGUUUGUUGUGGGACAAAAAUAAAUUAAAUAGCUUAAUAUGAUGUGUGAGAAUUAAAACGGCACGAUAAUUCUCGUCAGGUGUUAAAUGUGUAUUCCCGCCGUUAGCUUAGCGUUAGCUAGCUUAGCUGAGAUUUCUAAUUUGUCUUUUUCUACUUGUGCAGAUGGAGUCAUGAAAUGUGACGGGACAGCCACCGAGGACUUCAUACAGAUGUGUACUUCGGAGCAUCUCAAACAUGCACCACAAAGACGUGGAGGACACACCGCUGUCUCUCAGGACCUAGAAUCUUAAUGAAAGUAUAAUGAUGUUAAGGGAAGGUGUAAUGGAAAGGUGUAAUGUAAAGUUGUAAUGGUGUUAAGGGAAGGUGUCGUGGAAAGGUGUGAUAGUGUUGAGGGAAGGUGUAAUAGUGUUGAGGGAAGGUGUAAUAGUGUUGAGGGAAGGUGUAAUAGUGUUGAGGGAAGGGGUAAUGUUAAAGGUGUAAUAGUGUUAAGGGAAGGUAUAAUAUUGUUAAGGGAAGGUGUAAUCUUAAAGGUGUAAUAGUUUUGAGGGAAGGUGUAUUGUUAAAGGUGUAAUAGUGUUGAGGGAAGGUGUAAUAGUGUUGAGGGAAGGUUUAAUAUUGUUAAGGGAAGGUGUAAUGUUAAAGGUGUAAUAGUGUUGAGGGAAGGUAUAAUGUAAAGGUGUAAUAGUGUUGAUGGAAGGUAUAAUGUAAAGGUGUAAUAGUUUAAAGGGAAGGUAUAAUAUUGUUAAGGGAAGGUGUAAUGUUAAAGGUGUAAUAGUUUUGAGGGAAGGUGUAAUAGUGUUGAGGGAAGGUGUAAUAGUGUUGAGGGAAGGUAUAAUAUUGUUAAGGGAAGGUGUAAUCUUAAAGGUGUAAUAGUUUUGAGGGAAGGUGUAAUAGUGUUGAGGGAAGGUGUAUUGUUAAAGGUGUAAUAGUGUUGAGGGAAGGUGUAAUAGUGUUGAGGGAAGGUAUAAUAUUGUUAAGGGAAGGUGUAAUGUUAAAGGUGUAAUAGUGUUGAGGGAAGGUAUAAUAUUGUUAAGGGAAGGUGUAAUGUUAAAGGUGUAAUAGUUUUGAGGGAAGGUGUAAUGUUAAAGGUGUAAUAGUGUUAAGGGAAGGUGUAAUGUUAAAGGUGUAAUAGUUUUGAGGGAAGGUGUAAUAGUGUUGAGGGAAGGUGUAAUGUUAAAGGUGUAAUAGUGUUGAGGGAAGGUAUAAUAUUGUUAAGGGAAGGUGUAAUCUUAAAGGUGUAAUAGUUUUGAGGGAAGGUGUAAUAGUGUUGAGGGAAGGUGUAUUGUUAAAGGUGUAAUAGUGUUGAGGGAAGGUGUAAUAGUGUUGAGGGAAGGUAUAAUAUUGUUAAGGGAAGGUGUAAUGUUAAAGGUGUAAUAGUGUUGAGGGAAGGUAUAAUAUUGUUAAGGGAAGGUAUAAUGUUAAAGGUGUAAUAGUGUUGAGGGAAGGUAUAAUAUUGUUAAGGGAAGGUGUAAUGUUAAAGGUGUAAUAGUGUUAAUGGAAGGUAUAAUGUAAAGGUGUAAUAGUGUUGAUGGAAGGUAUAAUGUAAAGGUGUAAUAGUUUAAAGGGAAGAUAUAAUAUUGUUAAGGGAAGGGAUAAUGUUAAAGGUGUAAUAGUGUUGAGGGAAGGUGUAAUAGUGUUGAGGGAAGGUGUAAUAGUGUUGAGGGAAGGUGUAAUAGUGUUGAGGGAAGGUGUAAUAGUGUUGAGGGAAGGUGUAAUAGUGUUGAGGGAAGGUGUAAUAGUGUUGAGGGAAGGUGUAAUAUUGUUAAGGGAAGGUGUAAUAGUGUUGAGGGAAGGUGUAAUGUAAAUGUGUAAUAGUGUUGAGGGAAGGUAUAAUAUUGUUAAGGGAAGGUGUAAUGUUAAAGGUGUAAUAGUGUUGAUGGAAGGUAUAAUGUAAAGGUGUAAUAGUUUAAAGGGAAGGUGUAAUAUUGUUAAGGGAAGGUAUAAUGUAAAGGUGUAAUAGUUUAAAGGGAAGGUAUAAUAUUGUUAAGGGAAGGUGUAAUGGUGUAAUAGUUUUGAGGGAAGGUGUAAUAGUGUUGAGGGAAGGUGUAAUGUUAAAGGUGUAAUAGUGUUGAGGGAAGGUAUAAUAUUGUUAAGGGAAGGUGUAAUGUAAAGCUGUAAUAGUUUUAAGGGAAGGUAAAUGUUUAGUGAAAUUGUUAUGGUGUGAAUCUAAGGUGUAUGUUAUGUUGAUGUAAAAUAAAGGCAUUAACCCCAAA